ACAGCAGUAGCCGCGGUAAUACAGAGGGUGCAAGCGUUAAUCGGAAUUACUGGGCGUAAAGCGCGCGUAGGUGGUUUGUUAAGUUGGAUGUGAAAGCCCCGGGCUCAACCUGGGAACUGCAUCCAAAACUGGCAAGCUAGAGUACGGUAGAGGGUGGUGGAAUUUCCUGUGUAGCGGUGAAAUGCGUAGAUAUAGGAAGGAACACCAGUGGCGAAGGCGACCACCUGGACUGAUACUGACACUGAGGUGCGAAAGCGUGGGGAGCAAACAGGAUUAGAUACCCCCGUAGUCCCUGUCUCUUAUAC
rnacentral:rRNA from 1 species